AACGAACGCUGGCGGCAGGCUUAACACAUGCAAGUCGAGCGCCCCGCAAGGGGAGCGGCAGACGGGUGAGUAACGCGUGGGAAUCUACCCAUCUCUACGGAAUAACGCAUGGAAACGUGUGCUAAUACCGUAUACGUCAUUCGGGAGAAAGAUUUAUCAGAGAUGGAUGAGCCCGCGUUGGAUUAGCUAGUUGGUGGGGUAAAGGCCUACCAAGGCGACGAUCCAUAGCUGGUCUGAGAGGAUGAUCAGCCACACUGGGACUGAGACACGGCCCAGACUCCUACGGGAGGCAGCAGUGGGGAAUAUUGGACAAUGGGCGCAAGCCUGAUCCAGCCAUGCCGCGUGAGUGAUGAAGGCCCUAGGGUUGUAAAGCUCUUUCACCGAUGAAGAUAAUGACGGUAACCGGAGAAGAAGCCCCGGCUAACUUCGUGCCAGCCGCCGCAGUAACAC
rnacentral:rRNA from 1 species